GUUUUGAGUUGAAGUUCAGCAGUACGUCUGUCUGUAUUCACUCUAUUUUUCACGGCUCGCAGGAAAAGUUCCUCAUAUCUAAACAACACCUAUCUGGAUUGGGUACGACAGCUGACGGUGAUAGAUAGCUGGGUCCAGGAUAGGCCUCCUGAGGAGUUAUGUGCUGGCCCGGGACAAGGAGCCAGGUGCCUCCUCCUCGGACCCUCCACCUGUCGCUAAAGUGCUUGAGCGCUGAGGUCGACUCUCCCUGUACUGCACGUACAGGGACGCCCCACCAGCAGUGGUCCCCUCUUCCUGUCUCUCCUCCUCUCAGCAACCACUUCAG